ACGCAUGUCGCGGGAGAGAGCGGCCGAUUGCGGCUGCCGCCGAAGGCGCAAUUCGCCCGGAAUCGCUCAGGUAACCCAUACCGCGACUGCAUC
rfam:Bordetella pertussis strain Tohama I, complete genome